rnacentral:misc_RNA from 1 species
CCAAUUCAGAAAAGCUUCAAAUUCAAAGCUUUCUGUCUUAUCCUCUUCUGCUUUCGGAGUAACAAAAAGGGUCUCUUCCUCUGUUCGUGCUAUGGGUUCCUCUGCUUCUUCACAGAGACCAGAUAACAUUCAAGAGGCAGGAAAGGUUGAUUAUGCUUCUGUAAGUGAUGAUGAAUGGAAAAAGAGGCUUACAGUUGAGCAAUUUCACAUAACACGUCAAAAGGGAACCGAAAGGGCUUUCACUGGGGAAUACUGGAACACUAAAACCCCUGGAACUUACCACUGCAUAUGUUGUGAUACACCUCUAUUUGAGUCAUCCACUAAAUUUGACAGUGGAACGGGUUGGCCAUCUUACUAUCAGCCAAUAGGAAGCAAUGUGAAAUCAAAGUUAGACUUGUCAAUUAUUUUCAUGCCUCGUCAAGAAGUUCUUUGUGCAGCUUGUGAUGCUCAUUUAGGCCAUGUCUUUGACGAUGGUCCGGC